CUACAAUCAUUCAUUUAUUCUUAUUUAUUUUAGUUUUAAAAAAUCAUAUUAGGCUUACAGAAAUAUAUUAUUUACCGUCUAAACAAUAUUUCAUACGAAAAUUAACAACUAAUACACAAGAGUAAGACACAACUCACUAUUUAGUAUUGAUCACUUAUCGGUGAUUAUUUAUCAAGAUGAUCUGUUUUGAUUGUUUCAAGAAUUGGUAAAAUGCCACACACCAGUCACCAAGGGAAAAGCUUUCAAGCAUUCGCUUGGCGAUAUAAACAUGACCGCUAUGAAUGCAACUAACUUUGCAAUAUAAUGGACAAAUAUGAAAAAUGGAUUUUUAAACAGUAUCUAACAAAAUACAAUAGUGUGACUGACAAAAAACUGAAUCGACCUUCUAAAAUGUUUACUGUAAAUAGGACGAUCAGAG